rnacentral:sRNA from 1 species
UUUUAAAAAAUAUAUGUUAUUAAAGAAGUUCUCAAAUCACAUUUGUUUGGGAAGUCUGUCAGUUGGGCUUUUGCCUAAUUGGUUUACCUGAUAGUCAGAAAUGCAGGCGGCCUGACUACCCCCUGGCAUUAGUCGGAAAGCAUUUCAAACUCCGGACAGACAGUGUGGUGGUCCUUCAGGGAGAAGUCCACUCUAAAGUACUUCGGUGCGUUUCUACCGAAACUGACCGGAUCAGUCGAUAAUGUUUAUCAAAAGAAA